CCUACGGGCGGCAGCAGUUAGGAAUAUUGGGCAAUGGACGCAAGCCUGACCCAGCAACGCCGCGUGAAGGAAGAAGGCUUUCGGGUUGUAAACUUCUGUUCUCGGGGACGAAGCAAGUGACGGUACCUGACGAAUAAGCCACGGCUAACUACGUGCCAGCAGCCGCGGUAAUACGUAGGUGGCAAGCGUUAUCCGGAUUUACUGGGCGUAAAGGGAGUGUAGGUUGUACUUCAAGUCAAAUGUGAAAACCACGGGCUCAACUAGUGGCCUGCAUUUGAAACUGUACUACUUGAGUACUGGAGGGGUAGGCGGAAUGCCUAGUGUAGCGGUGGAAUGCGUAGAUAUUAGGAGGAACACCAGAGGCGAAGGCGGUUUACUGGACAGCAACUGACGCUGAGGCGCGAAAGCGUGGGGAGCAAACAGGAUGAGAUACCCCGGUAGUC
rnacentral:rRNA from 1 species